rnacentral:rRNA from 1 species
GCACCGGCUAACUCUGUGCCAGCAGCCGCGGUAAGACAGGAGGGUGACAAACGUUUGUUCGGAAUUACGUGGGACGUAAAGCGCGUGUAGGCUGCUUCGAAAGUCGGAUGUGAAAGCCCUGGGCUCAACCUAGGAAGUGCAUUCGAAACUUCGAAGCUGGAGUCCUGGAGAGGAUAGCGGAAUUCUCGGUGUAGAGGUGAAAUUCGUAGAUAUCGAGAGGAACACCGGUGGCGAAGGCGGCUAUCUGGACAGUGACUGACGCUGAGACGCGAAAGCGUGGGGAGCAAACAGGAUUAGAUACCCUGGUAGUCCACGCCGUAAACGAUGGGUGCUAGGUGUCGCGGGCUUUGACCCCUGCGGUGCCGUAGCUAACGCAUUAAGCACCCCGCCUGGGGAGUACGGCCGCAAGGC